rnacentral:lncRNA from 1 species
UAUUGUUGCGAUUAUAACUGCCUGUGAUGUGUCGUUUGCAUGUGAUGUGAAUGAGAGCGGGGUAGAUAGGUUUACAUGUGAUGUAACAAACCCAAUGAGACCUAAACUAAAACCUCCUCAAUCAAGUCGAGAGUGAACCAACAUGAGCAAGUCAUAUUAGAUUAAUUGAUCUAAUUGGUGUCUAGGAAAGCAUGAAAGGUGGUUACUUAAUUAGGACCUUACUCU